CUGAUAAACAGUGAUUUUUUAUUUUUAUUGAUUUUUUUAAUUUUUAUUUGGUCAGUAUAGCAUCCAAUUAAAUAUAAGUAGUUUAUUGAUAUAGUGCAAACACAUGCAGCUGUAACAGUGUGGCUCUAUUCUUGCUGAGUUAUGUUAUGUAGAUAUAAAGAGAGUAUCCCGCUGGGUCGGUAGGAAUUAUGAAGGACAAACAUGAAUUGCAU